GGUCAAGUUAAUAAGGGCGCACGGUGAAUGCCUUGGCACUAGGAGCCGAUGAAGGACGUGAUAAGCUGCGAUAAGCUGCGGGUAGGCGCAAAUAGCCUGUGAUCCGCAGAUUUCCGAAUGGGGAAACCCAUCUAGCUAA
rfam:Clostridium homopropionicum DSM 5847 CLHOM_contig000061, whole genome shotgun sequence.